CCCCCCAACCAAAACCAAUUAAUCACUAUUUAUAACCCCAAACACACAGAAUUUUAAUUAAACAAACCAUUUUUCCCCCUUAGUAUGGGAGACAAAAAAGGGACUACGGCGCAUUAGAGAAAGUACCGCAGGGGAACGCUGAAAGAGAAAUGAAACAACCCAGCAAAGUCUAAAAAAGCAGAGAUCAACUCUA
rnacentral:rRNA from 1 species